rnacentral:rRNA from 1 species
UACAUGGGGUGCAAACGUUGCUCGGAAUUAUUGGGCGUAAAGCGCGCGUAGGCGGUUACUCAAGUCGGAUGUGAAAGCCCUGGGCUUAACCUAGGAAGUGCACUCGAAACUGCCGAGCUUGAGUUCUGGAGAGGAAGGCGGAAUUCUCGGUGUAGAGGUGAAAUUCGUAGAUAUCGAGAGGAACACCGGUGGCGAAGGCGGCCUUCUGGACAGCAACUGACGCUGAGACGCGAAAGCGUGGGGAGCAAACAGG